GGGUUGUGAGGUUAAGCGACUAAGCGUACACGGUGGAUGCCUAGGCAGUCAGAGGCGAUGAAGGGCGUGCUAAUCUGCGAUAAGCGUCGGUAAGGUGAUAUGAACCGUUAUACCCGACGAUACCCGAAUGGGGAAACCCAAUGUGUUUCGACACAUUAUCAUGACAUGAAUACAUAGUGUCAUGAGGCGAACCGGGGGAACUGAAACAUCUCAGUACCCCGAGGAAAAGAAA
rnacentral:rRNA from 1 species